rnacentral:tRNA from 1 species
GAGGGUAUAGCUCAGUGGUAGAGUGCCUGCUUAGCAUGCAAGAAGUCCUGGGUUCAAUCUCCAGUACCUCUU